rnacentral:ribozyme from 13 species
AAGAAGAAAGGGUUUUUGUCAAAGAAAGCGAAGAAAGAGAAACCCUCUCCAUUUUAUUUUUCUUCUGAUUUUUCUUCUGAUUCUUCCUCUUCUUCCUCUUC